rnacentral:tRNA from 2 species
GGGCCCGUAGCUCAGCCUGGUUAGAGCACCCGGCUGAUAACCGGGGGGUCCGGGGUUCAAAUCCCCGCGGGCCCACCA